GCGCUGUCAGAGCUGGAAAGAGCGCAAAAACACCCAACCGCGGUGAAAUGUCACAAUUCUUGUUCCUACAGUUACAGCACAAACAAAACAUUAAUGCAAACACUCCAUGCACUACUUCAUAACAUAAUAAUCAUUACACUGGUCUUUGUCUUGUCGAUAUUAUUAUUUGUUCAUUUUAUUUAUUUAUUCAUUUAUUUUUUGAUGACUACAUACUGGACACACUGUGGAGACUGCACACAUACAUGAACUGAUCUAUUCAAAUUUGUCUAUUCUGCCCUUUUACAUAAUACCAUAAUUUUUCUGACUAUGUAGUCAUAUAAUAUAACCCUCUUGCUUUAAUUUCACACUGAGGCCUAAACUCUGCUCCUAGCUUGCCUAAAAUCACUCUCAAUCACAAUCAAAUUCACAAUCACUGAAUUUUACUUCUUAUUUCUACUUCAGCUUUUUUAAGUACAGUAUAUAUCAAAUACUUUGAGACGUUUUGCUUAAUUAUCAUAAAAGGUGUUAUAUUAUUAUAUAUGCUGAAAUAUUCUACCAAAAUCUUUUUCUAGUAUGAUACUUGCACUUUUAUUCAAGUAUUGUUUUCUACUACUUUAUACAAUACUGGUGUCAUGCUUACUUACCUCUGUUCUUUACUUACCCACACACCACACUUUUACUACAUCAAACAGCAACCUGAAUCAUCAUUCGGUUCAGCAAUGUCCAUGACUGAUCCAUACACAGUUUGCACAUUACCGUGCACUUAUCACGUGUGUGCUUGUGUGUUUACGUACACUAAUCAAGUGUAUACUUAUUUUCUACUUGUGGGUUCAUAUAUUUAUCUAUGUACACACGUACACUUAUCACGUGUGUGCUUAUUUUCUACUUGUGGGUUCAUAUAUUUAUCUAUGUACACACGUACACUUAUCACCGUGUACUUAUAUUGUGUACUUAUAUUGUGUAUUUAUCUUGUGUAUUUAUCUAUGUACAUACACUUAUCACAUACAUAUAUUAUCCACUUAUUAUCAUAUUCAGAUUAUUAUACACAGAUUAUCAUCUACAGAUUAUCAUCUACAGAUUAUCAUCUACAGAUUAUCAUCUACAGAUUAUCAUAUACAAAUGAUCAUAUACAAAUGAUCAUAUACAAAUGAUCAUAUACAAAUGAUCAUAUACAAAUUAUCAUCUACACAAUACCGGGGGCCCCCCUUUUUCACCGUCCCUACCAAGCAGACCUGUCUCAACCAACAGCGGUAUCUAGGAACUAACGCGUUUUUACCACCUGCCGUCCUGCCCCGGUCCGUGAGUCCGUGCCGUCCUGCCCCGGCCCAGUACACACACCGGAGGAUACGCUCCAGGAAUUUUAUCGUGCACUUUACCACCUGCCGUCCUGCCCCGGUCGUGAGUUUAAUAGCACUCACGCCGGAGGAUACGCUCCAGGAAUUUUAUCAUGCGCUUUACUACCACCUGCCGUCCUGCCCCGGUCGUGAGUCCGCGCCGUCCUGCCCCGGUCCAGUACUCACACCGGAGGAUACGCUCCAGGAAUUUUAUCCAGGCCUAACUACUACAUAGUACACUCAUGAGAUUUUUCACACACACACACACACAGUCACACAUCAAAACCUUAUCCUGUUAUGUGGCUUUCCCUUUGUUAUUUCUCAUCCAGCUCUUUAUCUCACCCUUAGGGGUUCUUAUCUCGAGGGUGUCUGUCUGCUCUCCUUCCCCCGGGGCCAAUCCCCCCUUUCAGGCCACAGAUUCACUAUACACAGACAUUUGAGUUUAACAGGCGUCUGCUCACCUUGUUAUUUAUGGCCGGCCUCUGUAGCCUGUCAGAGAGAGCGGUCCCGGUUCUGGAGGCAGUUCACACCGUCCCUGCAGAGGUCGCUUCGUGGUCGCCAUUAAAUAUGUGGGAACUUAGAGCCCGUCUCCAAGUCGGCACAUAUCAGGGUGAAUUAUACUGAUAUACUUUAUAAUACUUUUAUACUAUAUAAUUGUUACUUAAACUUAAUUUACUGAUAGCACUAACAUUAAUACGACUUAAAACAAUGGGAAAGCUCCUCAGACCUGGAUGAGAAUGAGCAAACUUCUUUAUUGUGGUCAAUCAGCCAACAAUUCUCUAAGAGAAAUUGCUAAUUUGAAAAGUAACAAAAGAAAUCCCAAAAACCCAAGAAAAGAAAAAGCAUCUUCAUGAAGAGCAUUGGCAUGCAAAAACAAAAAAACCCUCAGGACGGUCCUGCAGAGUAACGGGAUUUUUUACGCAUACCUUUUUUGACUUCAAAAUUCUCCUCUAUAUAUACGCUUCCAAGAGCCUCCUUAUCGGUCCCCCUCCUUACAGACCCAUUUUCAUAUCACCUUAUCCUUAUAUCUCAUAUGUUUUUGUAACGUCCUGUUCCUUACAAUCCCCUUGUUUUUCCUUUACCUUUUGCCCAUAUGCCCAUUUAUGGAUUUUCCUCUCCUUAGUUCCCCGGGGCCCAGAUCCGGAAGCCCCGGCCUGUGGCCCUGGGUCUUCUUCAUCCGACAUAACAAUUAUAUCUAAACAACAAUUUUGUUAUUAAAAGUGUGCUUUAAAAAAAGAGCCUCACUCCCUGGUCGAAGUUACUGUACAUUUGCCUCUAAGUUUUUCCAUGCCAGACGUCCUGAAGAUUAAUCCUUCAUUCAGCUACAAUGGACCCUUCGCCUCCAGGUCAGUCAGCUCAUCCUAGUCGCCCUAUCAGGUCUUCGCCUCACCAUCCUCGUCCUUCUCCCUACCCCAGGCCAGUACCCGCUGAAGUCAUGGAGACCUAUCGCCGCUUCCAGCUACUUCAUAUCACCUAUGAGCUCAUUACGUGUCUGGAACAGCUCUGUUCUAUGGCCCUGAGUCCCCUGUUUACACUCUUUCUUCUCCUGUCUGCUGAGUUACUAUAAUAAAGAGUCCCUCUUUUAUUCA